GACGAACGCUGGCGGCGUUCCUAAUACAUGCAAGUAGGACGCAGAUGCGAACGGGUGAGUAAAGCGUAGGUAACUACCUAUUAGAGGGGGAUAACUAUUGGAAACGCUAGCUACUACCGCAUACUAGUAGAUGGACCUGCGUUGUAUUAGCUAGUAGGUAGGGUACUGGCCUACCUAGGCAACGAUACAUAGCCGACCUGAGAGGGGUCACGGCCACACUGGGAAUGGGAAACGGCCCCGACUCCUCCGGGAGGCCGCAGGAAGGAAUCUUCGGCAAUGGGGGGAACCCUGACCGAGCAACGCCGCGGGAGUGAAGAAGGUUUUCGGAUCGUAAAGCUCUGGUGUUAAGGAAGCGGUACUUAACCAGAAAGGGACGGCUAACUACGUGCCAGCCGCCGCGGUAAUAC
rnacentral:rRNA from 1 species